ensembl:snoRNA
GAAAAAUUGGAAUUCUGACAGGCCUGUACCUCUGAACCUGUCAUAGUGUCCCAUGCCAGAGCAAACUGGCCAAACCAAACCAUUGCCUGGCCUCUACCCAUAGGCUGCUGGCAGUGAAGUGGGUCAUACAAUG